UGCUAGAGCCACCAGCGUGCCUCGGCGGUGGCUUCUCCGUCUUCAAAGCCAGCAGCGCAGGAUCUUCCAGCUGCCCACACUCGGACCCCUCGGCCUCCCUCUUCCGUUUAUAGAGACCUGACAGUCCGCUGGGCCGCUGGAUAAUCCAAGAUCCUUUCUGAUCUCCAAGCCAGCUGAUUAGCACACGGUCCCAUCUGCGGUCUGCCUUCUCCUUUGCCGUAGAAGGCAUGUUCAGGGUGGUCAAGCUUGUCAGAAGAGAGAAGAGCUACUGGAUGGUAGCGUUGUCAAAGGUAAAACAUUUUCCCAUAAAAUUUUCAGUGUUAAGGAGUUCUGUGCAGUUUGUCCCUUUCAGGUUGGGUGACUUGAUGAUACUCUGUUGGUCCAGUGACUUCUCUGAUGACAGUUAUAACCUCUUUGGCUUUUUGUAAAAAAAAAAAAAUCCCACCCAGAUGCCCACGCCAGUGAUUUUCACAUCACAGCCGCAGAUGUUUUAAGCAGUACAUCCAGUGGCAAGGCUGGCGAUCCGGAGUUCAAACCUAGGAAGGUUAAAAUGACGCGGUGCACAUGGCAAAAGCUCAACAGAUGGUAAGGAGGUGAGAGGCUGCUGUCAGGCCCUGCAUGAGAUGCAAAUGCAGCAGUGAGCAGGGCUGAGUAUUUCCCUCCCAAGUUCUUGCAGACUAAUUGGAAAGAUAAUCAUCUGGACCCGGAUCAUGUAAGGAAGAAAUAGCCUAAGUGCUGGCGGAGCAUGCAAGAGGGCAGUGGGGCACUGGAGAGACUUCCUCAGGAGAAGGUUUUUCAGCUGAGCCCCAGAGGACGUAGGGCGGGGGCAGGAGGGAGCCGCAGGUGGAAGGACCUCCGGGAGGCGGGACAGGGUGCCCCGUGAUGCAGAGUGAUGGUUGCUUUGGUGACGUGUGACUUUUAGGAAAGGAAGUGGGAGGCCAUGUUGGAAAGAUCGUGUGAGGCUGGAUCAUGGAGACCCCCAAAUGUCAGCCUAAGGAGUUGGAUUCCAUCCUGCAGGUGACGCGGUGCCAUCUUUCCUCAGAGGGGAGCGGAGUCUGCUGGUAAUACUCAGAUAAGCAAAAGGGAACAGCACGGGCCACCUCCCAGCAGCGGGAGCGCACCAUUGUGAGGGUGCCGACACACGCACACACAGGGGCCCCUCACACACGUGCCAGUGCGCUUGUGCACCCCCCCACGCACACGUGAACACCGUGCACACACACACACGCUGUGAUUCAAACACCUUCCAUAGGUGUAUUUUGCUAAAAAUGUGUACAUGAGACCGUCUAUGUGCCUAUUUUAAUUCUGUUAAUAAAUGACAAAAUAAAAUCCAUAAUAAAAAGUAA